rnacentral:rRNA from 1 species
GGUAGACCGAGCGACGCCGCGUGGGUGAUGAAGAUUCUCGGAUCGUAAAACCCUGUCAGGUGGGAGGAAAAACCAUUCGGUUAACACCCGAGUGGCUUGACAGUACCACCAGAGGAAGCUCCGGCUAACUCCGUGCCAGCAGCCGCGGUAACACGGGGGGAGCAAGCGUUGUUCGGAUUCAUUGGGCGUAAAGAGCUCGUAGGUGGCUCUGUAAGUCGGGGGUGAAAGACCACAGCUCAACUGUGGAAACGCCUUCGAAACUGUGGAGCUUGAGGCUGGGAGAGGAAAUCGGAAUUCCUGGUGUAGCGGUGAAAUGCGUAGAUAUCAGGAGGAACACCGGUGGCGAAGGCGGAUUUCUGGACCAGUUCUGACACUGAGGAGCGAAAGCCAGGGGAGCAAACAGGAUUAGAUACCCUGGUAGUCCUGGCUGUAAACGAUGGGCACUAGGUGUGGGGGGAUCGACCCCUUCCGUGCCGCAGUUAACGCAUUAAGUGCCCCGCCUGGGGAGUACGACCGCAAGGUUG